rnacentral:lncRNA from 1 species
AGAAGCUAUGCGAUACAAAUCAUGUACUGGUGUUAACUAUUGGCAUAACAAUCUUCAGUGUAAACUUUUGUCGUGGGAUCAAAGCAUAUCUAACUUGAUUGUUUCAUUAGAUGACCAGCUUAUUGAUAGUCCUGGACAUGUAUAUACGGAUAUCGAUAGCUGGACGAUGGUAAGUUAUCACAUUUAAAAAGAAGAUGUGGUAUGAUUGCCAAAGAGCCAACUCUUCACAAGACACCAAAUGGCAUAGAAGUUAUCAGCUAUAGGUAAGUACGGCUUUCGACAAAGAGAAAAGUCCAUGCCGCAUAGUCAGCUAUACAAGGUCCCAAAAUCACAAAUGAAAACCAUUCAAACGAAACUAACGGCCUAAUGAAGGUACAAAAAUAAGAACGAAAAAAAAAACACAUCAACAAAUGACAACCACUGAAUAACAGGAUUCUGACUUGGGACGGGCACAUACAUACAUCAUGUGGCGGGAUUUAACACGUAAAUGUCAUCCAUUCCCUACCCCUAAACUGGGUCAGUGGUGUAACAGUGCAACAUAAGAACGAACUAUCAAAAUUAGAUUUAAAAGGCUUAACUCGUCAGAUGGAUACAAAUAGG